rnacentral:rRNA from 1 species
AGUGGCGGACGGGUGAGUAACACGUAGGUAACCUGCCCCGGAGCGGGGGAUAACAUUUGGAAACAGAUGCUAAUACCGCAUAACAACAAAAGCCACAUGGUUUUUGUUUGAAAGAUGGCUUUGGCUAUCACUCUGGGAUGGACCUGCGGUGCAUUAGCUAGUUGGUAAGGUAACGGCUUACCAAGGCGAUGAUGCAUAGCCGAGUUGAGAGACUGAUCGGCCACAAUGGAACUGAGACACGGUCCAUACUCCUACGGGAGGCAGCAGCAGGGAAUCUUCCACAAUGGACGCAAGUCUGAUGGAGCAACGCCGCGUGAGUGAAGAAGGGUUUCGGCUCGUAAAGCUCUGUUGGUAGUGAAGAAAGAUAGAGGUAGUAACUGGCCUUUAUUUGACGGUAAUUACCUAGAAAGUCACGGCUAACUACGUGCCAGCAGCCGCGGUAAUACGUAGGUGGCAAGCGUUGUCCGGAUUUAUUGGGCGUAAAGCGAGUGCAGGCGGUUCAAUAAGUCUGAUGUGAAAGCCUUCGGCUCAACCGGAGAAUUGCAUCAGAAACUGUUGAACUUGAGUGCAGAAGAGGAGAGUGGAACUCCAUGUGUAGCGGUGGAAUGCGUAGAUAUAUGGAAGAACACCAGUGGCGAAGGCGGCUCUCUGGUCUGCANCUGACGCUGANGCUCGAAGCAUGGGUAGCGAACAGGAUAGAUACCCUGGUA